GACACCAGUUUAAGUCGAGCGAAACAUAGGGGAAGAUGUAAAAUACCCAAAGGAAGGAGGUGCAUACAAGAUGGUAUAAUUUUCCUCAACGCAGCGAGAUGAGGAAGAAGCUACUGGUGUUCCUUUAAAACCUUUGGGAUUUUCAAAGCGGUCCCCAGUCCUUCAUUCCACUACAUACGACCAAAUUGUAUUUGUCAUUAGGAAAACAACUGCUAUGCAUGCUCAAAUGUUACUGCAAAGUUGUAAUUCUGGAUAAAAAGUUCAAAAUGUAGAGGAGUUAGAUAUGUGUCACGGAAAAGAAAUGAUUAAAAUUGGAAAUACGAACCACAUCAGAGUAAGGAAGGUACAACGAAAGGGAUUGGGGACAACCAAUGAACGAAUCUUGACAGAAACGACCACAACCAAUUGAAGUGUACAAGAAUGUGGAUAGAAGAAAGGAUAACAAUAUCACAAAUGUUAGAUGCUUGUAAUACAAAUUGUGACUGUUUCUUUGCCAAUUUCUUUCCAUUAAAUAAGAAAAUGA